rnacentral:rRNA from 1 species
GAUGAACGCUAGCGGGAGGCCUAACACAUGCAAGCCGAGCGGUAUUGUUUCUUCGGAAAUGAGAGAGCGGCGUACGGGUGCGGAACACGUGUGCAACCUGCCUUUAUCUGGGGGAUAGCCUUUCGAAAGGAAGAUUAAUACUCCAUAAUAUAUUGAACGGCAUCGUUUAAUAUUGAAAGCUCCGGCGGAUAGAGAUGGGCACGCGCAAGAUUAGCUAGUUGGUGAGGUAACGGCUCACCAAGGCGAUGAUCUUUAGGGGGCCUGAGAGGGUGAUCCCCCACACUGGUACUGAGACACGGACCAGACUCCUACGGGAGGCAGCAGUGAGGAAUAUUGGUCAAUGGGUGCAAGCCUGAACCAGCCAUCCCGCGUGAAGGACGACUGCCCUAUGGGUUGUAAACUUCUUUUGUAUAGGGAUAAACCUACCCUCGUGAGGGUAGCUGAAGGUACUAUACGAAUAAGCACCGGCUAACUCCGUGCCAGCAGCCGCGGUAAUACGGAGGGUGCAAGCGUUAUCCGGAUUUAUUGGGUUUAAAGGGUCCGUAGGCGGACUUAUAAGUCAGUGGUGAAAGCCUGUCGCUUAACGAUAGAACUGCCAUUGAUACUGUAAGUCUUGAGUAUAUUUGAGGUAGCUGGAAUAAGUAGUGUAGCGGUGAAAUGCAUAGAUAUUACUUAGAACACCAAUUGCGAAGGCUGGUUACCAAGAUAUAACUGACGCUGAGGGACGAAAGCGUGGGGAGCGAACAGGAUUAGAUACCCUGGUAGUCCACGCCGUAAACGAUGCUAACUCGUUUUUGGGAUUCUUGAUAUCUAGACGGCGCAACUGUGAUAUUUUAUCCACCUGCGGAGUACUCUCGCCACAGUGAUACUCCUCGGAUUUGAUGGGGGCCCCCCCCACCGGCGGAUUAUGUGGUUUAUUUCUUUGAUACGCCAGGAACCUUCUCACCAGUUCUUUGGGUGUUGACAACUUUACAAAUAUAGCUUGCUGCCUACAAUUUCCCAGGAGCUGGAUGUGUGUCGUCGUCUCCUGCUCUGGUGUGGUAAGGUAAGUCCUGCUCCCAGCGCAACCCCUGUCCUUGUUUGUCAUCAUUCACUUGGGGACUCGAGUGAUACUGCCUACCUGCCUAUAAAGGACCGUAGGAAUGACGUCAUAACAUCACGGCCCUUACGUCUUGACCCACACAGCUACUACCGUGCUCGGUUCGGAGGGCCACUACGCUGCCAUGUGAUGCAGAUCACCUAAUCCCGUCUCACUUAUGAUUGUAGUCAGCAACUCCACUCUAUCAACUGCGAAUCGUUAGAAAUCGCACAUCUCCCGUGUCACAGUGAAUACGUUACUGGGUCU